GACGAACGCUGGCGGCAUGCCUAACACAUGCAAGUCGAGCGAGCUGAUCCCUUCGGGGUAAAGCUAGCGGCGGACGGGUGAGUAACAAGUGGGCAACCUGCCUCAUAGAGGGGAAUAGCCUCCCGAAAGGUAGAUUAAUACUGCAUAGGAUUGUAGCUACGUAUGAAGUAGCAAUUAAAGGAGCAGUCCGACAUGAGAUGGGCCCGCGGCGCAUUAGCUAGUUGGUGAGGUAAGUGCUCACCAAGGCGAAGAUGCGUAGCCGACCUGAGAGGGUGAUCGGGCACAUUGGGACUGAGACACGGCCCAGACUCCUACGGGAGGCAGCAGUGGGGAAUAUUGCACAAUGGGGGAAACCCUGAUGCAGCAAUGCCGCGUGAGUGAUGACGGCCUUCGGGUUGUAAAGCUCUGUCUUCAGGGACGAUAAUGACGGUACCUGAGGAGGAAGCCACGGCUAACUACGUGCCAGCCGCCGCGGUAAUAC
rnacentral:rRNA from 1 species